AACGCACAUUGCGCCCUUUGGCAUUCCGAAGGGCAUGCCUGUUCGAGCGUCAUUACACCUCUCAACCGGUUGUGGUUGAUGUUGGGUGGACCGGUCGGUCGACCUUAAAAUCAGUGACGGUUUUUCCGAAUCUCAGACGUACAAGUUCGUGAUGAGAGGAAGGAACAACCGCCGACGGGGCUCCGGCGGGAGCUGGCAUUAUCAAUGUUGACCUCGGAUCAGGUAGGGAUACCCGCUGAACUUAA
rnacentral:misc_RNA from 1 species